GACGAACGCUGGCGGCGUGCCUAACACAUGCAAGUCGAACGGAAAGGCCCUGCUUUUGUGGGCUGCUCGACGGGCGACCGGGUGAGUAACACGUGAGUAACCUGCCCUUGCCUUUGGGAUAACCUAAGGAAAGUGGGGCUAAUACCGGAAAGGAGUUCCCGCUGCAGGGUGGGGGUGGGAAAGUUUCGGCGGUUGGGGAUGUACUGGCGUCUUAUCAGCUUGUUGGUGGGGUAGUGGCUUAGCAAGCCAUUGCCGGGUGGCCUGGCUGAGCGGGUGACCUGCCACAUUGGGACUGAGCUACGGCCCGGCCUCCUACGGGAGGCAGCAGUGGGGAAUAUUGUACUAUGGGCGGAAGCCUGAUGCAGCAACGCCGCGUGCGGGAUGACGUCAUUCGGGUUGUAAACCGCUUUCGCCUUUGACGAAGCGUGAGUGACGGUAAUGGGUAAAGAAGCACCGGCUAACUACGUG
rnacentral:rRNA from 1 species